GAGUUUGAUCCUGGCUCAGAUUGAACGCUGGCGGCAGGCUUAACACAUGCAAGUCGAGCGGGGGAGAUUGCUUCGGUAAUUGACCUAGCGGCGGACGGGUGAGUAAUACUUAGGAAUCUGCCUAUUAAUGGGGGACAACAUCUCGAAAGGGAUGCUAAUACCGCAUACGCCCUACGGGGAAAGCAGGGGAUCACUUGUGACCUUGCGUUAAUAGAUGAGCCUAAGUCGGAUUAGCUAGUUGGUGGGGUAAAGGCCUACCAAGGCGACGAUCUGUAGCGGGUCUGAGAGGAUGAUCCGCCACACUGGGACUGAGACACGGCCCAGACUCCUACGGGAGGCAGCAGUGGGGAAUAUUGGACAAUGGGGGGAACCCUGAUCCAGCCAUGCCGCGUGGGUGAAGAAGGCCUUAUGGUUGUAAAGCACUUUAAGCGAGGAGGAGGCUCCUGUAGUUAAUACCUACAGAGAGUGGACGUUACUCGCAGAAUAAGCACCGGCUAACUCUGUGCCAGCCGCCGCCGUAAUACC
rnacentral:rRNA from 1 species